rnacentral:rRNA from 1 species
GACGAACCGUGCAAACGUUAUUCGGAAUCACUGGGCAUAAAGGGCGCGUAGGCGGCUCCAAAAGUCAGGGGUGAAAUCCGGCAGCUUAACUGUCGCAGUGCCUUUGAUACUGUGGAGCUAGAGGGAGGUAGGGGUCUGUGGAACUUCCGGUGGAGCGGUGAAAUGCGUAGAUAUCUGGAGGAACACCGGUGGCGAAAGCGGUUCACUGGCCCGACACUGACACUGAGGUGCGAAAGCUAGGGUAGCAAACGGG